GACGAACGCUGGCGGCGUGCCUAACACAUGCAAGUCGAACGGAGAUACGAUUUCGGUUGUAUCUUAGUGGCGAACGGGUGAGUAACGCGUGAGCAACCUGACCUUCAGAGGGGGAUAACAUUUGGAAACAGAUGCUAAUACCGCAUAAGACCACGACCCGACAUCGGGAUGAGGUCAAAGGAGCAAUCCGCUGAAGGAGGGGCUCGCGUCCCAUUAGAUAGAUGGCGGGGUAACGGCCCACCAUGUCGACGAUGGGUAGCCGAGCUGAGAGGCUGAUCGGCCACACUGGAACUGAGAAACGGUCCAGACUCCUACGGGAGGCAGCAGUGGGGAAUAUUGGGCAAUGGGCGCAAGCCUGACCCAGCAACGCCGCGUGAGGGAAGAAGGCUUUCGGGUUGUAAACCUCUGUCCUUGGUGACGAAACAAAUGACGGUAGCCAAGGAGGAAGCCCCGGCUAACUACGUGCCAGCCGCCGCGGUAA
rnacentral:rRNA from 1 species